UCUGGUAGUAAGAUAUAUUAUGAUCUCCAUCACAAUAUCAUCGAAACUCUUUUCGAUGGAUUGAAAUAUUUUCAACUCUAUCCUUCGAGGAUUAUCGAUCAUCAAGAUGAUAUCCGAUGAGUCCCACAAUCUAUCAGUGAUACCUAGCAGUAUGUAUUGAUAAUCUAGUAGAAUGAGAGUAUGAACCCUUAGGUAUAGUUAUCGUAUGAUUCAGUCUUUCUAUUGUGAGUCCCAAAUUGAUGGAGAUCAUAGAGAACUCGUCAGAUCUCAUUGUUAGUCAUAUAC
rnacentral:lncRNA from 1 species